AGGCGCGGCGAGGCGGGUGGCGCGCGGCAGCAGGGUUGGGCUCUCGCCGUGAGUCGACGAAGGGAGCGCGGGCGCGCGCCCGCGUCCGCGCACUGAGAGUCGCCUCGGCCGCUCGCUUUCUCGACUCCCGCCUCGCGCCUCGAUCCUGUUCCGCCUCCCUCGGCCCUCCUGCCCGCCCCCACUCGUCGGCCCUCAGGUACCUAAAAUGUCUCAUUAUUCAUCAAUUAAUGAAAAACAAAUGAAAAUUUGAGAGAGAUAUUCUGAAGAAUAAAAGGAUCAAGUUGGGUCAUUUCUAAAAUCUCAGAGACCUAAUAGGAUGGGGUCUUAGAGAAACAUCUUUUGAGCCACAGACUUCUUUGUUACCAGAAGGAAAAUGAAAGAAGAAAUUUAAAUACCACUUGAAGAGAGAGAGUGUGAAGAAAUGACCCUGAAAAGCCUCUGGCAGAGGAUUCUUCUUUCAGGAUGGUGUCGCCUCCUCAGCAGCCCAUCCUCCUCCCCUGGACUCAAGCUCUCAUUCCAGUAACACUCCUUCCUCCUUCUCCAUCUUCAGGGGGAGGUUUGCCAGUCGGUGCUGCCCAGUUCAUGAGUGCUGCUGCUGUCCUGCCCAAGUACCCAGCUUGCAGAGUGCCAGAGUUAGAGUCCCAGGGGUGUUCUCCACAGCUGCAUGCUUGAUCCAGGCCUAUCAGUGAACCAGCAUCUUGCCCUUCAGACCCUACAGCACACUCUUGGGCUCAUGAAGUGUAUGACACAUCCUCCUUGGGGGAUCGGCCAUGUCCUCGCUCUCAUGACCACAUGAAUUCUUCUGUAUGUCUUUUCUCACAGCUGAGUACUCUCUUCCUGACCCCCUUGUGGAAUGGGGAAAGGAGGCUGUGACAUUGUGCUUGUGCAAACAAUAAUUGAGAGCUUUCCGAGUCUCCUGCAUCUUCAUAAAUGAUUUUUUGUUUUAUGCUGGGACAGUAGUUCUUUAAAUAGAAUAUUCUCCCAUGGAAAUCGCCCACAAUGCUGAGAGUACACCUUGCAAAAGGUAAGUCUAGAAUAUAGGGUGCCUCCUCAGCAUUGCCCAGAAGCUGAAGUUAGGACUCUCUAGAAUACCAAAAACAAAUUUAUAGCAGUUCAUUAAUGUAAGGAAUUAUGAAAACUGUGUGCCACCAUUAUCCAUAGAUGAAACAAGAGCCACCACGCAAGCACAGACACAAAGCCCUGAAGAUGAAGCCAUUGACAGGGCUCUCAUUUAUUCUGUAGAAACCCACUUGCCUGUUUUUGAACCAGUUUUCUUUGGAGCAUAUGUCUCACUGUGCAACCAAAGUGGUGUUUAUAUCCUAGUCACUUGGCAAAAAUUCUGUCAUUGCUUCAGGGAGAUCCAUUUUAGGCCUGAAGCAUGGAGCUGGUAAUAGAUGGGAUUUGGUACUUCUGAAGAAAAGACCCUACUGCAAAUUUAGAGAGUUAAUUUUUUCUUUUGUUCCCCAUAAUAUUGUUGCUAGAUAGAACUACCUUUUUUGACUAGAAGUUAAAUAUAGAGGCCUAAAUCAAUUAGGUAACUCCCACUCAUUCUAAAUGAGAACAUGUUUGUUUUUCUCCAACGAGAUGAGAAAUAUUUGAGGCGCUUCCUGAUAUCUCUAUCACCCACUGCAUUUUUUCACUUGAUGUAUAUUUCCCCAUGUAUUUGGGAUAAUUUUCAAAUAAUUGCCCUUUAGAAAUCUACUUGAUAUUAAAUGUAAAAAAAAAGCAAGAUGCAAAAUUAUUAUAGGAUGCAUUUACAGAAAUUACAAAAUUUCUAUAAACUAUUUAUGGAGGAAGACUUAUAGAGUAUAUGUCAACACAUUGCUUUAUUAUUGUCCUUGGUUAUGAGUAUGGUUUUUUUGAAACCUGCUUUGUACUUUGGGUGUUUUCUCACCAUUGGUACAAUUGAGGCAUUUUUCCCUCUUCUUCAACCUUGCAAAUCACACGUGAGGAUGCUCAUAGAAGUGCCUCUCAGACAGGCUGUUGUUUUGCUUUCACCAAUAAAUCAUUUAUAAUUAGAAGUAGAAAACUAUUCUUUCCAGUGCAAAUACAUCCCUUUCAAAAGCAGUUCUCUUUUUGUGAAUGAUGUCUAGUGUCUAAGAAACGAGGGUAACCUUUAUUAUAUGCAUUGCUCUAAUCGAAGCAUUGUUUUUUGCGGUGAACUCAAGGUUACAUGUUUAAGAAAAGCAUCGGGUUAAUUCCAUUAGGAAAAGUGUCUUAUUCAUAAACCUUUAGCCACUGGAAAAACACCAUUAGGAGGCCACACAAGUGUGUAUAGCUGGAUAGAAUUUGACAACUGGCAAAACAAAACAAUAGCCUACAAUUGCAGAGUGCUGUCUGUUUAAAAACCAACAUAUCUUUCACCAACAAAUACAUAUUCACCUCAACACGAGACUUUCAUGUGGUUAUUAAUAUCAAAUUUUUGAAUGUCCAAAUUUUGGAGUGUAGUCUAGCAGAGGUAAACUGAUUUGCCUAAGGUCCUUCAACUGUCAGAGGUAGAAUUAUUUUCUCUCUCCUGGCUCUAAAACCUGUCCAGAUUCUCCUGCAACACUGUCCUUCAAAAACACACUUCCGCUGACUCCAGUGCUGGUGAUGUCAUGCUUUAGCUAGUAGUUAGAGGUGACUUAACUUUAAAUAUGGAAUCUUUUUUUCCUAUUAAGCAAUGAGGUUUAGUUUGAAAAUUCUUAGAGAUGAUAAACCCCUCUCCUUUUUUUCUUCCUUCUCCUCUUUUGUCCUGAACAAUGUUCCAUAUAUAUUACUGCCAGAAACAGAUUCUUGACAUUCCUGUUAUGCUUUUCCACAUCUUGUAAUCAUUUCUACAGCUGUUAGCAUUGCCAACAAUUAUAUUUCCACUUUUAAAAAAUUGUUACAAAGAUGCAGAGAGAAAAGAGGAAAGCCAAGGAAUAAACUACAGGCAAUUAUGGGAUAUUUUUGUGAUGUGACAUUUUGGGAACUGAGGCAGCAUCACUGAUACUGCACUACUUUUUAAUAUCUAGAUUUUAAUCUUUUGUAUGAAGAUAAAAUUCACAUGCCUUAAACCUGACCACAACAUAAUAGGGCAUUUAUUUUUCUAAUUUUGAUACCAUCCACAUUUCUUAACUAUAAGAAGAAUGCUUAUGUUGUACCAGGUUAUAUGAUGUUGCCAAGAAGUAGAUGUGUACCAUUUACUAAUACAUCCUUUUGGAAAAUGCGUAUUAAUAACAUAUUAAGGAGUAAAUUGACGUUGUGCAAAGUGAGCCUGUGAGUUUAAAUGUAUGGAUUGUACACCUUGCUCUUCCUAAUUGCAGAUUUAACAGGAUUUGAUGACCUAAUGAGUUUAUUUCUGAAUGAUUUAUAUUUCUUUGUCAGUUCAAUGAUUUAGUAUUUUAAAUUUUUUUAAAUCACAUUUUAUUGAGAUAAUGCUAUUAGUGUUUCUUUCCCAUCACUUAACAAAGUUAAGUCACUCCUCUCCCACCCCACUUUUGUACCUACCAAUGUUUUUUUCACAGUUACAGGCUGAUUGGCUUGACGUGUCUUAGGAUACCACCCAAAGAGAGCUUCAUUUUAUAAAUACCAAGCUCAUUUUCCUAAAUAUUUUCAAAAAGAUAGAUUUAUCCUCAUAUAGUAAAUUCAGAUUAAUAAUUUUGGAAAGGGUCAUGUGACCAUGGUAUUACAUGGCUGUGGAAGACCCUCCAAGAUCUUGUUUUGGGAUAGAAGGACUCAGACAUCCAAACUUUUAAAUUAAUGAACUUAUUAAAUUCUAAAACUUUGUAACAGUGUUAAUUUGAGAAGUAUAAUAUUUUGCUUAAGGUCUGUUUUGCUUUGCAAAAUGCAUCUCCUUCAUUUUCAUAUUAUGUUGGAAGCUUAGCAUGAAAGAACGUGCCUCAGAGGAAACCAUAGGUAAGCAUACUUUAACAAAAGUUAGUGUCAUCAUGUUUGUGUCUUUGCCUGUGGUUUUUUAAAUGUAUAAUGUUUAACGUUGAUUUGGCUAUCAAAUUACAUUUUCUUUUGUUAAAAAAUUCUGUAAAUUAGAAAUGUACUGAAUCAUUUAUUUAGCAGACUGAAGGUGGGUAAUGUUGGCUGAACAGGUUUAAGCCACAGUAAUUUGAAAAUGUAAAUACAUAAAAUAAUGUCAUUUCUCUUCCACUCAAUGUUUCUUCACCAAAUAAAGUCCAGCCUGCUCUGAAUUUGUUGCCAGUAGGAACAAUGUUACAGUGAAUCAUGGUUUAAUAUACCUUGAAAAUGGCACAUCUGUUCUGUGAUAGCUUACCAAUUUUAGCCUCUUUAUAAAAUACGAAGAGUUUGUCAACCAGAAUAAUCUAGAACCUGGCAAUUCAAAUACCAUUCAAAGCAAAUGUUUUAUCUAAUAACUGGAACUAAAUGUUAGGCCUCAUGACAGUUCAAUAUUUACUAAAUAAGUUUAAUAACAGGGUAAGCCCUCAGUAUCCAGAGCAGAGACAAGCACACCAUAUUUACACAUACAAAUUCUGCCUUUAGCCAUCUGAAAGGGCCCCGAACUAUUGCAGCAAGCAAAGAGUCUUUGCAUUGUCCUAAAAUCCAUACAAUACUUUAUAUUUUACACAUUUUAAUAGCUAGUUUAACAAAUAACAAGUACCAUGCUUAAUUCUCUGCAUGCAUUAUUUCAACUAAUUAUUGGAAUAAUCUUAUAAAGUGGGUACUUUCGUCUCAGCUUACAGGUGAGAAAACAAAAGUUAAAUAGAUCGCCCAGGGCUCUGCUGGAACGUGUUAAGCAGGGAUUUCAGCCUGUCCAGUCAGACCCCAGAAGUUGUGUUCUUAACCAUUAGCAACACAUCAUCCCAGGCAGGCCCUACAUGAGCCUCAUAACCAAUUUUAUGCUGGAUAGUAUUAUCCCUAUUUCACAGAUGGCAAAACUGAGGUCCAGAGACUUUAAGUGACCUACCCAAAAUUACAGUCAUGAGCAGAGGCACUGGAAUGUAGGGCCUUGACACUCUACCUCACGUGGUCCUCUUUCCUGUUUUGGGUAGUUCUCCACUACCACUACUCAUUUCUGAUGCUGGAAAGGCUGUGUUUUAUACAUUUCUGUUUCUGGCUUGGAACGAAACACUCUGGGUCUCUGCUUGAUCAGUGUCCCCUCUAAACUGCACCUCACUACAGUAGGGAUGGCAUAAGAUACUUCUUUACACAGCAUCUUUUUGUUCCCACCUCACCCCCAGAGCUGUAAUAGGUAGAGCCAGCCAAAUGUCAAAGGGAUGAUUUGUCUUGUCACCACUAGUUUCCCUUUUCUCUGCCUUGUAUGUAACAGGAAUAUUCUUUAGUUCCUCCUUAUGUUCUAAAGCACCUCCCCAACCUAAAAAUAGAAGAGGAGUUGUGGGUCAUUUACACUUUAGUGUGAAUUUGCCCUUGUGACUUUGCCAAGGCUGUUGUGCCUAACCCUUUCAAUCUAACAGCAGAAUGAGAGUCUCUGGACUAUCCUGGCUCCUUCCCUGAGAAGAAUGAACUGGGAAUUGUUGGUCUAGACAUCAAGACUACCAGAGACCUAUUGCUCAGAGAUGUUUGGGCUGUACAAUUUCUGUAGAUAUGGCAUCUGGAGCAGCCUUUUCUAAGCAAUGGCAUUAUCAUUCCAGGCUCUCUCGCUCUUUCCAUCUCUCCACCAGGUGGACUCUUGCCCUCCACCCCUUCCAAUUUGUCAGUGAUUCAGAGAACAUUCUCCAUCCUUCCAAUGAUUACAUUCCUUCAUCUUGCUGGGGCGCCAAUUCAGUGAUGGAGCGGCUCUUGGGAGCAGCCUUGGCUUAUAGUGCAGCUCUCUGCUACCUUCAACAGGCUGGUAUUCGGGGUGCUUAGAUGUGACUGGUUGUACGCACGUGUGUGUAUGUGCAUGUGUGUACAGCAGUAAGAGCUUUCGAGGUAGAUACUUGAGGAAGCCUCAGACAUCUAGCCCCAUUACUGGGGCAAUGUCUUACUUGGGUUUUUCCAGAAACAGACCUGGAGACCAGGAUUCAAGUGCCAGUGGUAUAUUUGGGAUGUGAACCCUGCAAUGCUGGUAGGAGAGUGGAGAAGUGAGGCAAGGAAAGGAAGGCCGUCAAGGGGCGUGUUAGGAGGUCAUUCACCACCGCAGGUAGCCCGCUGGGGACCUCUGGGAGCAAGUGUGGCGCACAAGCCUCAGCAUUACUGCCCUGUGCCUUGAGGAGUAAGGGAUAAGGAUUUUCCCCACCAGUUCCCUGUAGUCCUUGGUGAGAGCUUCUGGGGUGGAGGUUAAGGUCUUUAGGUCAGAGAAAUUUUCUUUAGUUUCGGAAAAAUCUUUCAGGCCGAGGUCCAGACACUCACUGGAACACACUGAAGUGGUUAGGUCCAAGGGCUGUAGGCAGAGCUCCCAUAUCCAUCUGCAGAGGUGUUUCAGGUGGAAGGAGUGGAGACAGCCUUCUCUGCUCCACACUGUCUUCAGCAAGGGUUUCUGUAUCUGUGCAUUGAGGAUUAAAUUAUUCACAUGGUCAGAGAAGCCCAUCACCACUGAUAGUUAUUGUAGGUAUGGAAAACUAACGACUAAGAAGGGAGAAAAAUAUACCAAGCAGUUGGCUUGGCUGAACACAAGUAAAGACUCUUACAGUCACUGGUGUGAACUGCUUAUUAUCAAUGUCUGAUUACAGUGCUGCAUACUAAUGAUUAUGCAUGUCAUUAAAUGUGUCAGAUUAACUUUGUUAUAAAAUUUAUGACAACAUUAAAUUUUAUUCACAUG
ensembl:lncRNA novel transcript, antisense to CBLN1